rnacentral:rRNA from 1 species
ACGAGCGGCGGACGGGUGAGUAAUGCCUAGGGAUCUGCCCAGUCGAGGGGGAUAACAGUUGGAAACGACUGCUAAUACCGCAUACGCCCUACGGGGGAAAGGAGGGGACCUUCGGGCCUUCCGCGAUUGGAUGAACCUAGGUGGGAUUAGCUAGUUGGUGAGGUAAUGGCUCACCAAGGCGACGAUCCCUAGCUGUUCUGAGAGGAUGAUCAGCCACACUGGGACUGAGACACGGCCCAGACUCCUACGGGAGGCAGCAGUGGGGAAUAUUGCACAAUGGGGGAAACCCUGAUGCAGCCAUGCCGCGUGUGUGAAGAAGGCCUUCGGGUUGUAAAGCACUUUCAGUAGGGAGGAAAGGUAAUAGUUUAAUAAACUAUUACUGUGACGUUACCUACAGAAGAAGGACCGGCUAACUCCGUGCCAGCAGCCGCGGUAAUACGGAGGGUCCGAGCGUUAAUCGGAAUUACUGGGCGUAAAGCGUGCGCAGGCGGUUUGUUAAGCCAGAUGUGAAAUCCCCGGGCUCAACCUGGGAAUUGCAUUUGGAACUGGCGAACUAGAGUCUUGUAGAGGGGGGUAGAAUUCCAGGUGUAGCGGUGAAAUGCGUAGAUAUCUGGAGGAAUACCGGUGGCGAAGGCGGCCCCCUGGACAAAGACUGACGCUCAUGCACGAAAGCGUGGGGAGCAAACAGGAUUA